rnacentral:rRNA from 1 species
GAUGAACGCUGGCGGCGUGCCUAAUACAUGCAAGUCGAGCGAACAGACGAGGAGCUUGCUCCUCUGACGUUAGCGGCGGACGGGUGAGUAACACGUGGAUAACCUACCUAUAAGACUGGGAUAACUUCGGGAAACCGGAGCUAAUACCGGAUAAUAUAUUGAACCGCAUGGUUCAAUAGUGAAAGACGGUUUUGCUGUCACUUAUAGAUGGAUCCGCGCCGCAUUAGCUAGUUGGUAAGGUAACGGCCUACCAAGGCAACCAUGCGUAGCCGAACGGAGAGGCGGAUAGCCCACAUGGGAGGGGGAACAGGGACCAGAGUCCUACGGGAGGCAGCAGUAGGGAAUCUGCCGCAAUGGGCGAAAGCCUGACGGAGCAACGCCGCGUGAGUGAUGAAGGUCUUCGGAUCGUAAAACUCUGUUAUUAGGGAAGAACAAAUGUCGAAGUAACUGUGCACGUCUUGACGGUACCGGAUCAGAAAGCCACGGCUAACUACGUG